GCAUGGGUUUGACAAUAUUAGUUGGCAGAACCUGAGACUCUUAAUCACAGGGUUGUGGGUUCAAGCCCCACCUUGGGCA